rnacentral:lncRNA from 10 species
GACUCGGUUCCUCCUUGGCCUUUGUCUGGACGUUAUCCUUAGUCCCCUGCUCCAUGGGGCUCUUCACAGGACAGCUCACAGCAUGGCACUGGACUUUUGAGAGAGUGCCAGCCAGGCAGAAGCCACAGUGUUUUAUAGCUGCUCUCAGGAGUGGCAUUCCAUGACUUUUGCUGGAAUCUGUUCAUUACGGGCAAGUCACCGGGUCCCACCCCCACUCAGGGAAGGAGUCACACAGGGUGUGAACACCAGGAAGUGGGGGUCGUUGGGCCAUUUUGGGAGCUGCCUGCACAGGGCCAAGAUGUUCAGCCUUACUGUUGAUGAGGUAAAUGCAGCAUGAUGUAUUUAGAUAGCAGGUCACACUGAAGGCAAGUAAGUGUGGUGGCAUCAAGUAGCAAGAUUGUGGGAAGUAGGAAAUCCCUGGUGCUAGAGGUGGAGGUGGUUGUUCUCCGGGACCAGGCAACACAUACAGAGAUGGUCAUUGAGUCACAGUUUGUAGUUUUGAAAAAGUAGGCGCUUGUCAUUCUUCAUUUGCAAAGUCAUGGGUAGGUAGGCUGAUGUGUUUAUAUGAUAAAUCAUUUCACAUCAGUUACAAUGAACGAACCAUAUGUGCAUGUUUCACCCGGUGUCAGUCUCAAAAAUACAUGGCUGAAUAAAGAAACAAGUUGCGUGAGCCACCACACCCGGCCUUCACUAUUAAAGGUUCAAUAAACUUGUGUAAACGAACAUCCCAUUUCAGGUGAUAUACUUAUACUAGAUUUCGAGAAGUAGAAUUUGUGGGGAUGAGAUCCUGAG